AUUGAACGCUGGCGGCAUGCUUUACACAUGCAAGUCGAGCGGCAGCGCGGGGGCAACCCUGGCGGCGAGCGGCGAACGGGUGAGUAAUGCAUCGGAACGUACCCUGGAGUGGGGGGAUAACGCCGCGAAAGCGGCGCUAAUACCGCAUAUGCUCUGAGGAGGAAAGUGGGGGACCGCAAGGCCUCACGCUCUGGGAGCGGCCGAUGUCCGAUUAGCUAGUUGGUGAGGUAAAGGCUUACCAAGGCGACGAUCGGUAGCUGGUCUGAGAGGAUGAUCAGCCACACUGGGACUGAGACACGGCCCAGACUCCUACGGGAGGCAGCAGUCGAGAAUUUUUCACAAUGGGGGAAACCCUGAUGGAGCGACGCCGCGUGGGGGAUGAAGGGCUUCGGCUCGUAAACCCCUGUCAUUCGCGAAUAAUUGUUGUAACCUAACACGUUGCGACUUGAUAGUAGCGGAAGAGGAAGGGACGGCUAACUCUGUGCCAGCAGCCGCGGUAAU
rnacentral:rRNA from 1 species